GAAGUAUCCGUUGGAGUCUGGUGGUACUAUUUUCAAACAGUGUUUAUUAGUAAAAUACACAAAUCAAUAUCAAUAAUGCAAAUAUAUAGAUAAUACACGUUAGCAAUACUAAAACGAAAAGUGUGGGUAUAAUAAUAAUCAAUAUUAAACAAGCUCUAUCAAUGUCUAGGGGAUAAUGAAAUGUCAUAUGUGAAUAUAACGUACAGUUCAGUUCAUACGUGCUGAGGUAGAUGUUGGUCGUUGUGUUGUAAUUGUUGGAGAGAGAGAGAGAGAGAGAGAGAGAGAAAGAGAGAGAGAAAGCAAGAUGUAACAGCUACAGGCAGGUAAACCUUCCUUUACGUUCUUGAUCCGUCGAUGUGUUGUGGCUAUUCAGGUAUGACCCCUCUGCCUUUCAGCUAGACCGUUCUUAAGUGGUGGACUGAUCACUCUGGCAUGAGUGGACACACACACAAGCCCCCACCGGCCCUGCUACAGCACCGUGAGUUAAACAGACCGAUCCUUUGUUCGGUCUCCGAUGCCCCACACCUUCACGUGGGUUCCAACACUCAAGCAGUGCUCAAUAGUGUGUCUCCUGGUGUGUCUGAAGGGAGUCUCCCCAGACCUCACUUUUAUCCCUUCUCACGGGGUCUCAGUUGUCCAUCAAUUUUGAAUGACUGUGUCCAUCAAACCAGCCCACUCCAGCUGUCCACUGAGGAAUUUUAAUGAACAGAAUGGUACAAGGUGAACAACCCUCUCAGAAGCCGUAAGUCUUUCAGAAGUCAUAAUAUGGUGGAUCAACAAGUCUCACUCCCCUGCUUUAUCUCUCUCUUAUCUGUAGCAGAUGUUCCAAUUCCAGCAUGUCUUCUCUUACAUCUCUCUCUCUCUCAUUAACAGCAUAGCAACAGUAACGGUUUGUGAUUCUCCAAAGGGGGGGGGGGACAUGGGCAACUCUGCACCCUUUUGCCCAUCAGAUCUGUUCAUCCUUCGAAACACUGGCAAGUCCACAUCUGACAUGUGGAGGGUGUUUAAAGUCCAUCCGCACGGAGUAUAGGACGGGUAUAUUCCAGUAUGACGAAAUUACAAGUUUGGCAGCGUCAGAGAACAUUAAAUAUCGUGAGAAGUGAUGUAUUUAGUCAAGCAGGAAAAGGAAACGUAUGUAAAGCUCAGGAAGGUCGAAUCAAACAGAGCCGUCGAGAAUGUGUGUGAGGUCCUUAAUGAGUAACUGACAUCAAUAUUUACCAAGGAGAAAGACAAGGACGAUAGAGAGAUCAGUGUGGAGAGUACAAUUAUACACAGGCAUUUUGAAGUGCUGGAGGAAACAAUGUUGGGUGUCUUAGAAUGCAUUAAGGCGUAUAAGUCUCCAGGCCCUGAUGGGAUAUACCCCACGUUACAGAGAGAGGCAACUGAAGAGAUUGCUGGGGCCUUGACCACUGUACUUGUGACCAGCCUAGCCACAAGCAAACUCCGGGAGAAUUGGCCAGUACCUCAUGUUGGACCGUCAUUCAAGAAGUGAUCCAGGGAAUAAUCCUGAUGAACAUUGAAACUGUCGAGAGACAGUCGGCUAUGAGCCAAGUGCUGAUAAAUGGGACCAGUGUAGACAGUGAGUGGAUGUUCAGAACAGUUAAGGACAGCCAAAGGCUGUUCCCGUAGUGUGUGACCCACCACGCUGAACACGCUGAAUUAAAUAUGGUGGCACCACAAAAAGGCAUUGAUUUCAAAACUCCACACCCCUCUCCAAUUUGAAAUAAACCAGACUGAACCCAUUUGUCACCACUGCGAAUAUCUGUUUCUGUCAAGGUAACAUACAGAUUGGACACGUCAGCUGAACAACAGGCAAUUGACGACGUUCCUUUGUCUUCAUCGAUUAAUGUUGCUUCCUUACAGCAAAACUAACCCUCUGACUGUGUCAGAAUCAGUGAUUUAAACCUGCCCCAAAAUUCAGAAGUUCAGACCUGGAGUCCAGCACCAGGUAAGGACAGGGUCAUAGGGGAAAUGCUAUGGUGCUUUAUUACGCCCACUGGUCACCCUCGUAAUGCUAUUGUUUCUAUCAGUUCAAUAUUGUCCUUAGGGUUGCGUGGAUUAACGAAUAUGUGUCUUUCAUUCAUUUUUUGUGUUUUUUAACAAAUACUUUAUAUAUCUAGAAGUGAUAUUUUGGAUAAAAAUUCCUGUAAUAAAUCUCACUGCCAGUUGAUAAAAGUAUGGAAGCCUACACUCAAUGGGCACGUUGUUAUGUACCCCUGUUCCUAAUGAUGUGACCCUGAGUGAAUGCUCGGGGUUUACUGCGGCUGCACCCCGUCCACAUUCUAUGUUCGGUGCUCAGUGACGCUCUCUUGCACUCCGUUGUUGGAGUUCAUGGUUAUUUGAGUUCCUGCCGCCUUUCUGUCGGAUUUAAUCAGUCUGCAUAAUCUCACUGAGUUCUCUCAUUAACGGGGCCUUUAGAACCGCUGUUCACUGGAUUUUCCUUUGGUUUGAUUCCGGACCAUUCUCAGUAAACCGAGAGAUAUAUACUUGAGAAUCCAAGCUGCUGAUCAGUUUCUGUAACACUCAGACCACCCGGUCUGGCACCAGCGAUCAUUCCCCGGUCACUUACAUCACAUUUAUUUCCUCUUCAGAUGUUUGGCCUGAAUAACAACUGAACCCGUUGACCAUAUCUGCAUGGGUUUGUGCUUUGAGUUGCAAGCAGAUGAUUAACAGAUUCGUAUUAAUGAGCUGGUAUAGAGUUGUACCUAACAAAGAAGCCAUUUAGUGCAUUUCCCAUUUAGGCAAACCCUCACCCAUCUCGAAUAUGAACACGGAUGAGAUCUGGGCCUGAUUGUUGAUGAUUUGCAUGUUUGUAACAACAGGUUGUCGCUGGCAAGGCAGUGGACAAAACACUGUUAUAAGGUAGGGAUAAUCUGGAGAGAGAGACCCGUCACUGUUCCCUCUCAACUGCGCGUCUGCGUAGCCAAAAUGCUCCCACUAACGGAGCCUUUGUAGCGGCGCAGAUGGAAUUAAAAACUGUCGGAUAAACGUUUAUGAAACCUGAAAGCUUUUCUUUGUUGUACUGCAUUUUUAUCCUGUACUUUAAUUAGUAAUUAAAAUCAAAAGAAUGUUUUUUUUCUCUUCUCUGUCUUCAUCCUAAAAUAUUCAUGGAUGCAUUUUACAAAAGAGGACACAUCUACGAUGUUGCGCUUUUUUCAGGCUGUGUAAAAAUUUCCGUCUCAGAGUAAUAGCUGAUCCACGCAACUGCAAAAAUAGUCAUUAGAUGGAAAAUUGGAGACCGACCCACGUUACAUUCGAUGCAUAUUAAUCACGAUUGAAUAUGGUACAUUAUCGUGCUUCCUGUUAUAGAGGAGAUGUUAAAGGUCAAUAGAGUGGACAAAACAGUUUCACCGGGAGCCUCUCUGGUAUCCAGGAAAUAGUAAUGAAUAACGCAAGAAAAAUUAAUAAUAAUUUCGCCUUAUCCGUAGGAGCCUACUUUAAGGCAAUGUUGCUCAGGUGCUUAACAAUACAGAACUAAUAUCGAGCAGCGAAUAACUAGACGGUCCAUUUGCUAUAAAUUCAAGAGCUUUUCGUUUUUGUUUCUGUAAAGAUCACUAAUAAUGCCCCGAUAAUCACUUUUCCUACCUUUUCGGAACACUGUGUGUUGUACCUCCCCCAUUAUAGGUAUGAGCAAGAAUGAGAUCUUGGCCAAAUUGCGCAAUUAAGCGUUCAGCAUAUCACGCAUCAUCCUGGAUAAUCCCAGUUCUGAUACUGGGUCUUCCACAGUGUCUUUUUCCACAGAUGCAAUCUGCUGUACCGAGUUUCCAGCACUUUAUAAGAGGACGCAGGAAUAUGGCAUUGAGGCAAAAAAUAAAUCAACCAUGUUUGAAUGAUGGAGGAGACUCGAUGGACUGAAUCACUUCAUUCUGCUCUGAUAUCUCAUCAUGACUGAAUGAUGAGUCCUUCGUAUCCCGUAUCAGGAUUUGUGACGUGUGAGGGACAGUUACAAAUUUGUUCCAUGAGAUUAUUUUAUUCGUCUUCAGCGAUUAAAUUUCAGAGAGAUUCACUUUUGAAAAAAUUGAGCAGAAAUAUAUAUUUUUUCUUUGUAUUGUUAAUGUGCUUCAUUAUCUCUCUGGUUAAAGUUAGACCUGCCUUGAGAGAUUUAUUGGAAGUAAAACCCACAGCUGGAAAGAAGCCACGACUGAGAACGAGUGAACAGCGACCAGUGAACCAGCCCGAGGACUGAGAGUACCAACUGAAGAGAACCCUCUGACUCAGAGUUUUCAUUGAUUCAGUCAGGAGAAAGUCUGGUGAGACUCAUUCACUCGAACACUGGUCCUGUAAACAUUACAUAUCUUUACAAAGGAAGGUACGAAAUAGGUGGAAUGCCUCGGUCAGACCAAUUUGCAAUCACUCCAGGACUGGCAAUGUGCUUUCAGAAGCCCAGCUCUUUACAGUCACUCACAUCCUCUCAGUAUUUGCUCAAUUGAAGUUCCUGCAUCAUCUGAAGUAGCUUUUGGUUAGUUCUGAUGAUUCCUUGCUACGUUAUAAUCAUCUCAAAAUGCGUUGACAAUUUCCUCCCUUUAUAAGAAGCCCCACGUGUGUCGUGUUGUAGUGAUUGUCGAAAUGUGGAAUUACCAUGAACUGCAGUAACAUGCCCUUGAUCCCAAUGGCUAUUGCAAUCUGCAGUGAUAUACUUACCCUCUAAUAUAUCGUCGUGUAGGCCUCUGCUGAGAACAGACCAUUUAUAAAGCAAAAUAUCCCAACUCUGCAUUUUAUUCAGUCCUCACUAGCACAUGGCAACCCAUAAUUUACAUUGACAUACCUUGGCCUCAUCAAAUACUUUUCUGCUAAUUACAUUGUCAGAACCUGUGAACGUGACAUUAAGCAGAGGUGGAAAUUCAAAGUUAUGUUCCAAUGGAUGUUGUGCACGGGACUUCAGCAAAGCAUUUGACAAGGUGUCACGUGGCAGCUUGGUCUUGAUGAUCAGGUUCCAUGCUGUCCGGAGAGAGCAAUUUGGAUGUAUUCAAAAUUAACUUCAAGGUAGCAAGCAAAGAGUGGUGGUUGAAUAUUUCUCCUCGCAAUGGUGGCGAGUAAUUAGUGCUGUGCCGUGAGGCUACAAGUUGGGACCUUUGAUAUUCGUUAUUUUGUAGCAAUGAUUUGGAUGCGGUUGCACAAGGAUUACUUGACUGGUAAGUUCGCAGAAUGCACAACGUUAGUAGUUGCUGUUCACAGAGAAUAUCGUAACAUCUAGGGGAUCUAAAUGGACAGGGGCUGGUAAAGAGAUUGCAAACCCAAUCUGAUCAGCAGCGGAUUCAUGCAGAUGUUGGGGAUCAUGUGGAGGAAACAGCCAGAGGAAGUGGAUGAGGCAGGUGCAGUUGCAUAAAUCAAAAUGCAGUUGGGGUGUGUAGAUGGAGUGAAGAGGCCAGAAGGGAAAUGGCCCCAUCACAGGAAAUUGUGACCAUCUCAGUGGGCACUGUGGUUGACAUUGUCUCGUUGGGCCGAACGCUCUGAAUUUGCAUUCUCUUGCUCUGUGACUCUGUCAGCAGAUGCGCCAGGUAUCAGUGGACAGAUAUGGUGUGGAAGUGGUUACUAUCAGGUAAUGUUUGGUCCCCAUGCCAAAUGCUACAAGGGAUGGAAAUACUGUCAUAUUUGCAAAGUAGUCGUACUCUCUGACUCACUGUCUGCUUGUUGUGAAAUUUAGAGCCUCACCAGCAGGUGGAGCUGUCCUGCAGAGCGACCAAAGUGUAAACAAGACGACGACAAUCAACAAUCGUUAGUCAGAAUCAGAAUGGACAAAGAGCCAGAGUUUACAAUCUCUGACCUCCUGGCAGAAGGGGAGGAAUAUCGACUGUACCAACUGACAAAGUUCUACAGGGACAGACUCAAACAAGCAAUUGAAGAAAAGGUUGAGAGACUGGGUUGGAUGUUGACAAAGGAGGGACAUUUCAGUAGAGACGAAAAUGAGAAAGUCACUGAACUGACAGAGAAGGGAAACCGGGCAGAGAGUUCCAGACUCUUCCUCAGUCUGGUGAAUGGCAAAGGCUCCCGGGCCCGGAGGGCGAUGUGGGAAUCUUUUCUGAUGUGGAGGACUGAGUUACCGAAGUUGGACAGAAUACUGAGGGAAAUACAGGAACUCGGUCCUGAUCCACAGGAAUACAUGAACAUCGCCCAAGGUUUAUCUGAAUUACCCACUCAGUUGAUAGGUGAGUGAUCAAAUGCACAGUUCAAACCACAUCUCAAGUGUUAGUCUGUGACUUGGCAAAACCUGGGAAUCAAAAUUCGCCGUUAAUCAUUCGCUGAUCUCUGGAUUUAAGUAACAGUUCAACGAGUGUCUCUUUGCAGCCUGAAUAUUCUACAAUAUACUUUUCUAUUAAUCCAGCUGCUGGUUCUGCUGAAGCCUUCACUGCAGGUCCUCACGCUCUGGGAAUCCCCGCACACCCCAGGCAGGCUCCUGAUACACUGUAUGACCCAGUCCAGGUGACAUUUCUAUCUUCAGACCUUUCAUCUUCCAAGCCCCUUUUCCUUUGUAAUAGCACUACACGCAAUUCUGUUCGCUGAUGUUCUUUACAUUUUGGAAUUCUGCCAGUGACUUGCACAGAGUUUGUCUGGCAUUUUCCUUUUCACCCGUUACUGCAACUACAACAACAGUUUCUAGUGGUCCGAUAUUGACCCUCUCCCUUUUUUCACUCUUUAAAUAUCCGGGAAAGAAAAAAAAUACUUUGGUAUCCUUUCUUAUAUUAUUGACCAUUUCCUUGCAUUUCCUGCACAUUCAUGUAUAACUGGAAGCAUCUAUAACAUAGAUGCCUCCGACAUGACCCUAGUCACUAGACUCUAGACACUAGAAUACUACAGCACAGUACAGGCUCUUCCGCCCUGGAUGUUGUGCCGACCCAUGUAUUCCUUUAAAAAGAGUACUAAACCCACACUACCCCGUGACCCUCUAUUUUUCUUUCAUUCAUGUGCCUGUCCAAGAGGUUCUUAAAUACCCUUAAUGUUUUAGCUUCCGCCACCAUCCCUGGCAAGUUGUUCCAGGCACCCACAAACCUUUGUAAAAAACUUACCCCUGAUGUCUCCCCUAAACUUCCCUCCAUUAACUUUGUACAUACGCCCUCUAGUGUUUGCUGUUGGUGACCUGGGAAACAGGUACUAGCAAUCCACCCUAUCUAUGCCUCUUAUUAGUUUUUUAGACCUCUAUCAAGUGCUCUCUCAUCCUUCUGCGCUCCAAAGAGAAAAGUCCCAGCUCUGCUAACCUUGCUUCACAUGACUUGUUCUCCAAACCAGGCAACAUCCUGGUAAAUCUCCUCUGCACCCUCGGCAUGACUUCCACAUCCUUCCUAUAAUGAGGUGACUGGAAUUGAACACAAUACUCUAAGUGCGGUCUCACCAGAGAGUUGUAGAUCUGCAACUUUGCCUCUCCACACUUGAACUCAAUCUCCCUAUUAAUGAAGCUUAGCAUCCCAUCGCCCUUCUUAACUAUCCUAUCAAUCCGUGCAGCGACCUUAAGGGAUGUAUGGAUUUGAACACCAAGCUCCCUCUGUUCAUCCACACUCUUGUAACCAACGAUUAAACUUGUACUCAGCAUUCUGGUUUGUCCUUCCAAAAUGCAUCACCUCACACUUAUCCGGAUUGAACCCUAUCUGCCACUUUUCUGCCCAAAUCUGCACCGUCUAUAUCCUCUUGUAACCUUCGACAACCUAUAGCUCCAUCCACAACUCCUCCAUGUCAUCCACAAAUUUACUCACCCAUUCUUCCUCCUCUACAUCCAGGUCAUUUAUAAAAAUCACAAAUAGCAGGGGCUCCAGGACAGAUCCCUGCGGCACUCCACUAGUCACAGACCUCCAGGCAGAAUACUUUCCUUCCACUACUACCCUCUGCUUUUUUCCUGUAAGCCAAUUAUUUAUCCAAACAGCCAAGGUUCCACCUAUCCCGUGCCUCAUGACUUUCUGGAUGAGUCUCUCGUGAGUGUCUCCAUGUCGACCACAUUUACUACCGUACCUUCAUCAAUUGAUUUUUGUUACCUCUUCAAAAAACUCAAUUAGCCUCGUGAGGCACGACCUUCCCUUCACAAAGCCAUGUUGACUCAGACAGUAAAUUCCAGGCACCCACAACUAUGUUAAAAAACUACCCACAAUUGCUGUAAAUUUACCCCAUCUCACCUUAACCAAAUGCCCUCUGGUACCAGACACCAGUCAUAUGUAAAAAUAAAACAACAAAAUAUAGGCUGUCGACCAAACUCUCAUCUCUCAAACUUGUACACCUCUGUCAGAUCUCUAUUUUAACUCCAGAAUAAACAAACCAAGUUUAUCGAACUUCUACUUGUAGCACAUGUCACCGACUCCAGGCAAGAUCCUGAUGAACCUGUUCUUCACCCUCUCCAAUCCUUCCAAGAGCUGGACAAUCAGAAGUGAACACAAGACUCCAGAUGUUCACUAAAACCAUAAGACCUAGUAGCAGAACUAAGCCAUUCGGCUCAGUGAAUUUACUCUUCAAUUCCUCUCUACCCCAUUUUCCCAGUAAACGUUGACAUUCUUCAUAAUCAGGAACAUAUCGAGCUGCAUGUUAAAUAUAUUCAAUCAAGUGUCUCACUCAGCCGUCUAUGACAAUAACUUCACAGAUUCACCACCCGGCUGCCAAGAAAUUUCUCCCAGUUUGUGUCCCCGGCAGCCAGGACAAUUCCCCACAGUUCUCAAGCAUGUUAAUAUUCUGUAUGAGCCUCCCAUGUGGAACUUUGUCAAACACUCUACCAAUAUACAAGUAGACAAUAUCCAUGUGUAACUGCAUCCAUCACCUUUGUCACCUCCUGGAGGAGCUCAAUCAAGCUGGCAAGACACAAACCCGAACCAAAGCCUUGCUACUGAACCCCAAACCACCUCAUUCAUCCUCUCUGUCAUACUCCCAUGGGGGAGAACAUAUAAAAGGCUGAAGGUAUAUACCACCAGCCUCAAAGACAGCUUUUUUCUGCAUUUAUAAGACUGCUAAAUGGUCACCUACUAUGUUAUUAUUGGCUCUUAACAAUAAUAAGACAAUUUUAUAUCUAAAAUGAUAGCAUCGUACAUCUCAUAACUAAUAACAACUCAGAUAACAACUUCGAUAAUCACAAUAUACUCACAGGAGAGCAGACAGAAUACCGUUUGGGUUUGAACAACAGAUAACAGAUUAUGUAAUUCUAUUUCAAACACUGUGGAAAGCAGAAAACUUACAGUGUUAUAUUGUCAAUAAAAAAAACACAUCUGGUUCUGUUCCUCGUGUGUUUAAGAGAAGUUCCAAAUAUAUAUAAAAUUCAUACAAUGCUUGUGAAAUUUCUAGAACUGAUGAAGCAUUCGCGUAAAAUAAUCGUCCUAGUAACAACCAGAGAGGAACAACGACCACUAUCAAAAUAAAUGGAGGGAUUUUCCAGAGCGACUCACUGAGCCCACUGUGGUUUUGUCUGGUUUUAAGCCCACUCAUAAUUUACUGAAACAGACAAAAAUCAGGUAUCUAAUCAGAAAAAAAUACAAAUUUUACCUUGACACAGCUAUACAUUGAGGAUUUGAAAUUAUUUGCUCUUGCAUCAGUAAAGCUGAAACAAACAUUUCAAAUACUGGAACUAAUUUCCAAAUAUAUAAGCAUGAACUUCAGACUAGGAAAGUACAGAACAUGAUUAAACAUAAAGAAAGGUGCAAUAGAGCCGGUAGAAUAUCAAACAGAGCAUCGGGAUGCAAUGCAACAGAAUAUGAAACGGAUAUUUAGGAUAUCAAUAAGCAAAGAAAAUAGAUCAUCGUGUGAUAAAGGAAAACCUUCCAACAAAAUUUACUUCAAGGCUGAAGAAAAUCUGAAUUUACUGCUUGGCUGAACAAACUUUGAA